GUACAUAUAGUUUAUCUGGUAAAAUGAGUGAUUUCCAAUUACUAAUGGCGAGUUCGACUCUCGCUAUGUAUA
rnacentral:tRNA from 1 species